GGCCAAUGUCCAAUGUGGUGGACUGUAACAUCAUCAAUACUUAAGAAGAAUAACAUAAUGGGAAUUCUCUACUGUGACAUAGGAGCCUGGAAUAAUGAUGAUGCAAGAGAACAAAAGCCUCAAGGAUGUCAUGAUUCUUCUUCUUUUGCCAAAUUUGAACUGACAAGAGGCUUGAAAAAUAAACAAUUGAAAAUGGCAUUCCUGAAGGCCUGGUGGGUAUUGCAUGACUGAACGUCUGGGAAUGCUGUUCUAUGCUGUCUCAUGAGUCAGAGGAUGAGAAGAAGGGCCCCAGGUGCCUUGCAGUCCACUGCACCUUAAAGAUUGCUGACACUAAUCCACAUAGCACCAUGCUGUCAAGUCUGAUGACUCCAGGGAAGCUGCUGAUGUAAAGCAUAAACAGCCCAAGGGAGAUAACUGUGCUUACUGAUAAAAAUGCACAAUAUUCCUUCAAUUGUAAUUUAUUCCAGAAUUUUCUUCCAGAGCAUGUCCUGGUAAAUUGCUUAGAUUUGAGUGAAAAAUAAAC
ensembl:lncRNA